AGCGAACGCUGGCGGCAGGCUUAACACAUGCAAGUCGAGCGGGCACCUUCGGGUGUCAGCGGCAGACGGGUGAGUAACACGUGGGAACGUGCCCUUCGGUUCGGAAUAACUCAGGGAAACUUGAGCUAAUACCGCAUACGCCGGAAACGGGAAAGAUUUAUCGGUGAAGGAUGCGCCCGCGUUGGAUUAGCUUGUUGGUGGGGUAACGGCCUACCAAGGCGAUGAUCCAUAGCUGGUCUGAGAGGACGAUCAGCCACGCUGGAACUGAGACACGGUCCAGACUCCUACGGGAGGCAGCAGCUAAGAAUAUUGGGCAAUGGAGGAAACUCUGACCCAGCCAUGCCGCGUGAAUGAAGAAGGCCUUCGGGUUGUAAAGUUCUUUUAGUCGUGAAGAUGAUGACAGUAGCGACAGAAAAAGCACCGGCUAACUUCGUGCCAGCAGCCGCGGUAAAAC
rnacentral:rRNA from 1 species